UCCUGGCUCAGGAUGAACGCUAGCUACAGGCUUAACACAUGCAAGUCGAGGGAAACGAUAGAGAAAGCUUGCUUUUUCUAGGCGUCGACCGGCGCACGGGUGAGUAACGCGUAUCCAACCUGCCCAUCACUUGGGGGAUAACCUUGCGAAAGUAAGACUAAUACCCAAUGACGUCUCUAGAAGACAUCUGAAGGAGAUUAAAGAUUUAUCGGUGAUGGAUGGGGAUGCGUCUGAUUAGCUUGUUGGCGGGGUAACGGCCCACCAAGGCGACGAUCAGUAGGGGUUCUGAGAGGAAGGCCCCCCACAUUGGAACUGAGACACGGUCCAAACUCCUACGGGAGGCAGCAGUGAGGAAUAUUGGUCAAUGGGCGCAGGCCUGAACCAGCCAAGUAGCGUGAAGGAUGACUGCCCUAUGGAUUGUAAACUUCUUUUAUAAAGGAAUAAAGUCGGGUAUGUAUACCCGUUUGCAUGUACUUUAUGAAUAAGGAUCGGCUAACUCCGUG
rnacentral:rRNA from 1 species